rnacentral:lncRNA from 1 species
CCCAGAUCUGGAUGAAUUUUAAGCAAAUCAGUUCUGAAAAGGAUCACAGUGAAAUAAGUGAAUAGAAUUUAUCUUGAUUUCAUGUAAAUAGCUUUAAUAACUGUAAUAUGAAGGCUUGCAUUGCAGUACAACAAGCUGGUAUGUACAAACCCAAACCAGAUGCCCUGCCGGGCUCUGACCAGCCGGCUGGUUUUAUUAGUCUUGCCACUCACUGGAGAAAGCACUGAUUCUGUCAGUGUUUGGGUAAUAGCUCUGCCCUGGGAUCUGCUGGAGCUGUUGCACAUCCAUCUGGCAAAAGACGUAGGGAUGCACGAGAGUUCCAACCUCGUGAGCUGUGUAAAUACAGAGCAGCAGCGUGUGCUGACGCCAAAGGCAGGCAUUGGCAAUGCUGCUCUCCCGGGCAGCUGCUGUGUGCACAGGAGGCAGUGCUGACACGGGCUGCGCAGCCGCACGGCAUCGUGUGUGCCGGCCAUCCUCUCUGGGGGCGAGUGGCUGCUCUUCCUGCAAGCUGGAGAGACUUCAGUAUAAAUGAAAAGACUAAACCCCUGAAUGCAGAAACAGCAGCUGCCAAUUUAUUUUGUUUGGAGCAGUAUUCACAUCACACGUUCAAGUAUGCACAGAGUGUAUUAAAAUAGCUAUCUAGAAAUACAGAGGAUGAUGCACUUGGCUGCUCCUGGAAAAUUCAUGAAUCAUGGUUUCCAAGCUAAGGCUUCACUAAGCCAGGGAAGUGACACUGAGAAGUGGCAUCUUCUGAGGAGAUCUCCCCAUCAGAAGGGGACUACUCUAGGUUCGUAUAUAAGAGCUCAAAAGGACGAAGUGGGGCUACUCAUUUCUCUCCAGGACAUUCCUAGAAGGAAUAUCCCAACAAAACAAGGGGAAAAAAAGAAAAAGAGAUCAUAUACAUCUAAAGAUGUUCAACGAUCUAAAGAGUGCUAAAGAAAUUAACAGGAAAAAAAAAUAAAAAGGAUGAAACCCACA